UCUUCUAGUGGCCUUCAGAUGUAGAACUCUCAGCUUCUCAGCACCAUGUGUGCCUGGAUGCUGCCAUGCUCUCACCUUGAUGAUAAUGGACUGAACCUCUGAACCUUUUCAGAUUCUGGCUGCCAGACAACUUCUUGGGAGGAUCCCAACCGCACACAGAUGCUGGAAUUACUACAACUACAUGUUGACGCUGUUCAGCUUGUCAAACAGGACAGCAAGCAAUUAUUUGAAGCAGCUGGACUCAAGAAGCCUGUGUCACAUGUUUUCACACACGGAGGACUCACGGGUUAUGGGGAGCUGAACAAUGUAAUUACGUUCAUGGAGUGUCACUUACUAAUUUUGAAGUUCUGUGUUUCAAAGAUGGACUUCUUGUCUACAGUCAGCAGCAGAGACGUCAGCGAAUUAGCUGCUAUUGACCUCUACCUUGGGAACUUUCAAAAUUGAAUAUUUCAUAUUUUAUUCCCUUGGUAAGUUAAAUGGUUAGUUUUUUUUAAAAUGCUUUUCUGACUUGACAUGUCGCAUAUGUUAACAGUUUCUGAGAGAGCACUAAUUGACCUAACUGCAAUGGUCUUUCCAUUCAUAGCAAAUGUAAAUUUCACUUUCAAAGAAUCAGAUGCAAGAAUUGAAUGUGAUUUAAAUAUACCUCAGAAAUGUUGGGCUU